UUUUCUCUCUAUAUCUGAACUGAUAAGUCAUGGAUUAAAAAAAAAGAUUUCCAUUUGAUAGCAGCACCAUGAAGAGGUUAAUUCAGGAUGUGACAGAUGUUUUUUGUAUAUCAUGUCAUUUGAGAAAAUGUUGGUACAGUCUUGCACAAUCUCAGUGUUAGCACGUGAAUUCAACUCAGCUUAAUAGUAGUAUGGGCCCCUGUAGAAGCAUCUUAUGCACAAGACCGCAACAUCUGGAUUAGUUGAGAAAGUGGCUCGCAUUAUCACAAACCAAUUCAGUGGUCGGGAACACUUGCAAUGCCACAAACGGAAGCAGUUGGCUCCACGAAUAUUCUGGAAUUUUCUCUACAUACGUUCUUGAGGGCUUCAUUCACGUGAGGUUGGCAUCGCAGCAUCGAUUCCCAUGUGUAGUAAUUGGGUUUGAAUAAAAUACAGGAAGUUAAGCGUCAAGCAGCUUUUCUCUCUUUCGUGUCCACACUGCCCAUGAUGGUAGAUUUAUGUCAGCCGGUGUAAAGUUUAAUAAAUUCAUCUGAAAUAUCUUGGUUAAGUCCCGUUGCGGCAUUUGUGGAUUGAAGUUGCCAUUUUUUAUUCCCACAGGUUGCUCCUCAAAGCUCAAAUCCUCGCGUAACUCUAAUGGAGUGGAGUCCAACACAUGAGCUGGAUCAAAACAUAGAUGGUUUUCAAUUUCUGGCCAAGAAAUCACUGCAUCUAUCUUCCAACUGGGACCACUUUCUUUGGGAUUAAGGGCCAGAUAUAUCGAUUAUUAUAUCAGUGAUUACGGAAGUUUCCUCUCUUGUUCGUUGUUCCGUGCCGUUUUCAAUGGUUCUGAUUCUAUUCACUGUAUGGUUAGUUCACCCCCCGGUUUAGACAUUUCAUAUCCUUUCAUCCCCCUCCCAUCUAGAUCAACCGGUAUCAAACAAUACAAAUUGGACCAUUCUGGUAGGCUACAACUUUUUAUGGCCAUGUGAUAGUGGGUAUGAAUGCUCUCCUGAAAGAUGUUCAAAAUAAAUUUGAUUACCUCCUGCCAAAGAUUGUUUAAUUCAUGUCGCAAGCAGUUCCUGCUCUCUAUAACGACAUGAUACCCAGCUUCAAAAAGAGAAAGUAUUGUGGAAGGGCUCAUGCAAUGUCCGUCUUUCUCAUCAGGGUUCUUGGAAGGAGCCAUUGAAAUUAUCCAUCUAUUUCAAAGAAUAAAAAAGUCACAUGGCUCUUCGAAGCCAGGAUCGUUUGUUUACGCCUAAUGUGGACUGAAUGGCAAAGUUGUGCACUUUGCCAUUUCCAGUAACCCUAUUGAAGGCCUCGGUCGACGUCAACUGAGGUCCCCCUCUAUCUUCAAAUGGGCGAUCAAAGUCUUUAUUGCAGGCUUCACCCCACCAUGCGAAUCCUGACUUCUAAGAGUGGUCCUCCAUCUCAGAAUAGAUCGAAAACAUCUCUCCUCUUGUCAUUUAUAUUGUCAUUACUCCAACCUUGUAGAUUCCUUCGCAUCUUCUAUCAACCUAUCAACUUCUAUAGCAAUUGGCAAGGGCAGUACCAUGUGGGUAGCCAUCGCCCAUCGUAAUGUACUACCGGAUAAGGCCCCCUUUGAAAACUUAAAUGAUGCGAAGCUUCACCUCUGGAGUCUCGGUCUGAUUAGGGGCGUACUAACAAAAUAAAGUUGAAGGCUCAGUCUCCAUAAUUCAUCUUAGUAAAUUGUGGCAUAAAGUGGAACUUAUUCGUGAUCACGAAACAAUUGAAAUGAUGAGUGACCGUGGUUGAGUCUUCAAUCUACAUAUUGACGGCAUGUCCGAAUUGGAUAAGAUUGCUUUGGCCUUCCACUUGUGGAUCGAUGUGUGCUCUGAAGCUCUGGAGCCAAGGUGUUGAUGUGGGGUGUGCUGAAUGUGCCAAGGAGCAUGUGAUGUUGCUAGGGUGCAAACAAAUGAAAAGAUGUGAGCCAUUUCAACUGGUGAGAUUGGGUAUGCAGGGGCCUCAUUUUGCUUUUGUGUGGCCAACAUAGCAAUAGUACUUACCUGCACCCAAAACAACCUGCACCCAAAACAAAUUCUAUUAUGACUUGAAUUGGAGAAACGUAGCAUUCGCCAAUUCAAACUUCAAUUAGAAUAACAAUAAUACCAAUGAUCUAAUCAAAGAAAAACGUCGGAAACAAACAAAGUAUUGCAAACUUCUUCCUAAUUAUUGAUGCGCCAUUAUUCCAUGCACGGCUUUUCUGAACUGAUAUAACAAGAGGUAUUGUCUCGGUCAUGUGAUAUUUCCUUUACAAUACGAGGGAAGAGAAAAUUAUAUGUAAAAGAAUAAUGGUGAAAUUAUUCUUAAAUGAAAUAGAUGGACUAAACUUGUGGGCA